UAUAUAUAUAUAUAUAUAUAUAGAGCUUAAAUGAAGAAGAGGAAGAAGAAUAAAUAAGAAUGAAGAAGAAGGGUGGCAAUGAAAAACAAGAUAAUGGAUGCUGUCGUUACGCGCAAGAACGAGAUUUCUUUAUCAUUCCGAAGAGAUAGAC